AUUGAACGCUGGCGGCAGGCCUAACACAUGCAAGUCGAGCGGAUGAAGGGAGCUUGCUCCUGGAUUCAGCGGCGGACGGGUGAGUAAUGCCUAGGAAUCUGCCUGGUAGUGGGGGAUAACGUCCGGAAACGGGCGCUAAUACCGCAUACGUCCUGAGGGAGAAAGUGGGGGAUCUUCGGACCUCACGCUAUCAGAUGAGCCUAGGUCGGAUUAGCUAGUUGGUGGGGUAAAGGCCUACCAAGGCGACGAUCCGUAACCGGUCUGAGAGGAUGAUCAGUCACACUGGAACUGAGACACGGUCCAGACUCCUACGGGAGGCAGCAGUGGGGAAUAUUGGACAAUGGGCGAAAGCCUGGUCCAGCCAUGCCGCGUGUGUGAAGAAGGUCUUCGGAUUGUAAAGCACUUUAAGUUGGGAGGAAGGGCAGUAAGUUAAUACCUUGCUGUUUUGACGUUACCAACAGAAUAAGCACCGGCUAACUUCGUG
rnacentral:rRNA from 1 species